rnacentral:rRNA from 1 species
AGUGAACGCUGGCGGUAGGCCUAACACAUGCAAGUCGAACGGCAGCACAGUAAGAGCUUGCUCUUACGGGUGGCGAGUGGCGGACGGGUGAGGUAUACAUCGGAAUCUACUUUUUCGUGGGGGAUAACGUAGGGAAACUUACGCUAAUACCGCAUACGACCUACGGGUGAAAGCAGGGGAUCUUCGGACCUUGCGCGAUUGAAUGAGCCGAUGUCGGAUUAGCUAGUUGGCGGGGUAAAGGCCCACCAAGGCGACGAUCCGUAGCUGGUCUGAGAGGAUGAUCAGCGACAGUGGAACUGAGACACGGUCCAGACACCUACGGGAGGCAGCAGUGGGGAAUAUUGGACGAUGGGCGCAAGCCUGAUCCAGCCAUACCGCGUGGGUGAAGAAGGCCUUCGGGUUGUAAAGCGCUUUUGUUGGGAAAGAAAAGCAGCAGGUUAAUACACGGCUGUUCUGACGGUACCCAAAGAAUAAGCACCGGCUAACUUCGUG